UACGGAGGAUGCGAGCGUUAUCCGGAUUUAUUGGGUUUAAAGGGUGUGUAGGCGGUUUAUUAAGUUAGAAGUGAAAUACCUAGGGCUUAACCCAGGUGCUGCUUCUAAAACUGAUAGACUUGAGUGCAGUAGAGGAAAGUGGAAUUCCUAGUGUAGCGGUGGAAUGCGUAGAUAUUAGGAGGAAUACCGUUAGCGAAGGCGGCAAUCUGGCUGGAAACUGACGCUGAGGUGCGAAAGCGUGGGUAGCAAACAGG
rnacentral:rRNA from 1 species